GACGAACGCUGGCGGCGUGCUUAACACAUGCAAGUCGAACGGAAAGGCCUGCUUUCCCUUGUGGAUUGCGGGUACUCGAGUGGCGAACGGGUGAGUAACACGUGAGUGAUCUGCCCCCAACUUGGGUAUAAGCCUGGGAAACUGGGUCUAAUUCCCGAUAGGACUGCAGGGUGGUGCCUGUGGUGGAAAACGAUUUUCUAGUGGUUGGGGAUGAGCUCGCGGCCUAUCAGCUUGUUGGUGGGGUAAUGGCCUACCAAGGCGGCGACGGGUAGCCGGCCUGAGAGAGUGGACGGCCACAUUGGGACUGAGAUACGGCCCAGACUCCUACGGGAGGCAGCAGUGGGGAAUAUUGCACAAUGGGCGGAAGCCUGAUGCAGCGACGCAGCGUGGGGGAUGACUGCCUUCGGGUUGUAAACUCCUUUCGACCGCGAGGAAGCCACCUGGUUGGAAGGGUGGUGACGGUAGUGGUAGAAGAAGCACCGGCUAACUACGUG
rnacentral:rRNA from 1 species